UACGAAGGGGGCUAGCGUUGUUCGGAAUUACUGGGCGUAAAGGGCACGUAGGCGGUACUUCAAGUCAGGCGUGAAAGCCCCCGGGCUCAACCUGGGAACCGCGCUUGAGACUGGAGAACUAGAGUUCGGGAGAGGAUGGUGGAAUUCCCAGUGUAGAGGUGAAAUUCGUAGAUAUUGGGAAGAACACCGAUGGCGAAGGCAGCCAUCUGGACCGACACUGACGCUGAGGCGCGAAAGCGUGGGGAGCAAACAGG
rnacentral:rRNA from 1 species